rnacentral:lncRNA from 1 species
AAAAUUUUUUUUACUAAAAUUUAACCAACUAUCGUGAUCUGAUAAUACAGAGAAAUUUCAUGAUAACUCCCAAAAAAAUGCAACACUGGGGUUCAUCUCUCAACUGAGUUCAUUUUAUCUAUAUAUCAAGCAGAAGCAUUAUAAUAUUUUGCAAAGAUUACGAGAGGCCUUUUCUAUUUAACUCUCGAAGUGGAAGCAUCACCAUUUUAUAAAACAGAUCGAAGACUAUUUGGUGUCUAAAAGUGAGUUACACCAUCAUCUUACCAGGACCACGUGGAACGCUCAACUUGGUUCGCCACGCUCAGCGAAUCUGGCCUUUGCAUUUCAUCACCAGCUCUAUAAAGCUCUUCAGAAUCCAUACUGUUGCAACAUUUCAUCGUGGAUUCGGAGAAAUUCAUCUAUUACGUGUGAAAAUGGUCAGACACCUCGUUAAAAUACUUGGUGAUCUCCAUUUAAUACAAUAAUACAACUUUCUGGACAACUACAGUUGCAAUAUUGUCCUCUUUGAAGAUUAAGGCAGAAGUAUGGCCUAAAUUAAUAAGAAAAAUAACUUUCGUCUUGAUUAAUUGGCUAUUUAUGCCAAAAAUUUAUGAGCGUGUAGUGAAUAUUUGACUAAUAGUAUUAAUUCAAAGAAAAUUAUAAUAUGUGAAUUAUCCUUUAAAACGUAAAAAGUACAGUAAAUGAAGUUAUAGAUGUGUAACGUACACGUAUUAUUUAAAUAUAAGUUUUUUUAUAAUUAAAGCUUGGUAAAGAGAUUAAGAAUAUUUCAAUAAUAAUAAUACUAAUUUAAUUAUGCUAUAGAAAAAGAAAACACACGUGUAUGGCAACUUAAUGCAUUCAGGGUAUGCAGUUUCUCAUACAUAUGUACAUAUUUCAUAACAUUGUAAUGAUCAUUUAAUUAGCUGCUUCAACAUUAUUGCUGAUCUUCGUGAAGGCCUUCGACGAUCAUCAUGCCAUAAGUGGAAAAUUAAUUACAUUCAUUGACUCUCCUGCUUGCUUAUUCGCAGCAGAGGAUGCUCACCGAUCGGCUGAUCUUUUAGUUUAGCUACACCGGCUCACCUCAUCUGUGAAGGAGCGGGUAGAGUAAAUAUGUAAGAGCACAACUGAUUUGCAAAUUACAGAGAGUGCCUAUGGUUGCCAUGCAUCUUAAGUAAAUUUCACCUGUACUGAAUUUCUAGUUAUUUUUUUUUAUUAGUUUUCUUUAACAUUACCCAUGUUAUUGUUUUUUGUGUUAUUUUGAAACAGUACAUUUGCAUAAAUUAGUUUUCUUUUCUAGUAAUCUAAAGCUCAAAAUGUAUAUUUUUAAGAUGUUUUAUUGAAGUAGUCUACUUUGAAUUUUCCUAUAUUUUAUCUCCAUUUUGUACAUAAUAUUAAGAAUGUGAAUAAAUUUUUAAAUUUCAAAUAUGAA